rnacentral:rRNA from 1 species
AUGAGCGUUGGUUCCAACCCCACCUCAGAUACCAGGAACUCGGACUUGCUCUGCAGCAGACCACCUGAGCGUGGUCUUCAAGUAGUCCACUUUGGCGGCAAUCUUGUCCUCGCUUUGGAAUGCGACAGCGCACAGUGCUUGUCUGAACAUCCCAGAGGCACGGGGAACGCCUAUACCUUCGGCGCAUGCCACCAUCGCCCGGAGGCGCCCCGGGUUGGUGGUCAGGAUCCCCCGCCUAUACAUGACCAGCUUGACAAUAUCACAAGCAGCUAG